ACAGACGAUUUGAAAMGAAUGAAUUCACCACCNCNGGCANGACGCUCCAGGCGACCUUAGGUCGGAUUUUGSCCAACCGCGUGCGGUAACACCCGGGAGACCAGCUUCCGUCCGAUAUCCUCGAUAGGAUGGGGGGACCACSMUUUGUGACACCCWGGCAGACGUGCCCUCGGCCAGAAGGCUUGGGGCGCAACWUGCGUUCAAAGACUCGAUGGGUCACGGGAUUCUGCAAUUCACACCAAAUAUCRCAUUUCGCUACGUUCUUCAUUGAYGCGAGAGCCRAGAUAUCCGUUGCCGAAAGUCRUUUUUGACUUUAAAUUGCAAACUGCUUCCGAACAAACACCGUCUCCGGGUU
rnacentral:misc_RNA from 1 species